rnacentral:rRNA from 1 species
AACGAACGCUGGCGGCAGGCUUAACACAUGCAAGUCGAACGCAUCCUUCGGGGUGAGUGGCAGACGGGUGAGUAACGCGUGGGAACGUGCCCUUCAGUUCGGGAUAACCCAGGGAAACUUGGGCUAAUACCGGAUACGUGCGAGAGCAGAAAGAUUUAUCGCUGAAGGAUCGGCCCGCGUCUGAUUAGCUAGUUGGUAGGGUAAUGGCCUACCAAGGCGACGAUCAGUAGCUGGCUGAGAGGAUGAUCAGCCACAUUGGGACUGAGACACGGCCCAAACUCCUACGGGAGGCAGCAGGUGGGGAAUAUUGGACAAUGGGCGCAAGCCUGAUCCAGCCAUGCCGCGUGAGUGAUGAAGGCCUUAGGGUUGUAAACCUCUUUCAGCAAGGGAAGAAGCGCAAGUGACGGUACCUGCAGAAG